CCCGAAAGAUCGAAUGAGGAGACUCAUCGUCAGGGGGGUCGGCUUCCAUGUGGUUCGCGAUGAUUGAGGCACGUACUUCGGUGCUUGUCGAUGUCACGCUUCCACUGUGGCAUGUCUGAUUUCUUCGGCGUGCACUUCUCCUCUAGUAGAACGUCGCGACCCGCUGGGUGUCGGUUUAAGGGCCGAGAUUGAAGACUGCUUCGUAGCUUCGGCGUGCGAUUGCAGGCACUUGGAUUCCCGACCGGCUGCUCGGCGGUAUACAAACAAGGUAUCGAGCCGCACUUGAAUGCGUUCAGACUCGUCGCAAGCCCGACCAUUGUUAAUCCUGGAGUUACGGACCUAGUGCCGUACCUGGGGGUGGUUAGCUGUUGGUUGACGAUGUUCUCGAACUGGCUUAACUUUAAUGCGAUACCGGUCAGCGACGCUAUUGCUUUGGGUACUUUCAGGACCCGUCUUGAAACACGGACCAAGGAGUCUAACAUGUGCGCGAGUCAUUGGGACAUUUAAACCUAAAGGCGCAUUGAAAGAGAAGAUCGACCUUGCGUUGAUUGAGGGAGGAUGGGCGACGUUUCGAUGUUGCUCCGCACUCCCGGGGCGUCUCUUAGAGUCAUUGCGACUCGAGGCGCACCCAGAGCGUACACGUUGGGGACCCGAAAGAUGGUGAACUAUGCCUGGUCAGGAUGAAGUCAGGGGAAACCCUGAUGGAGGUCCGUAGCGAUUCUGACGUGCAAAUCGAUCGUCGGAACUGGGUAUAG
rnacentral:rRNA from 1 species